AUGAUUCACCCGGCUGAACCAAACCGAGUGGAGGAUCAUGUGGAAGAUGUCGUACUUGACGGGCUUUGUGUGCCACAAAAAAUGCCUCUGCACCUUCUUCACAUUAGACCGAUCUCCUUCAGCCUGGGUACAUCUUUCUCUGCCACGACCACUGAGAACGCGGUCCAAUCAAGUACGUCGUCGAACGGGAGCACGAAGUUGUCGGCGAUGAUCACCGGUACGCACUCGUAG
rnacentral:rRNA from 1 species